rnacentral:rRNA from 1 species
CCUACGGGUGGCAGCCGUGCGGAAUAUUGGUCAAUUGUCUGUAGCCUUACCCCGCCCCGCCUCGUGAGGGAUGAAGGUACAGAGUAUCGUAAACCUCUUUUGUCAGGGAACAAAGGCGGGGACGUGUCCCCGGAUGAGUGUACCUGAAGAAAAAGCAUCGGCUAACUCCGUGCCAGCAGCCGCGGUAAUACGGAGGAUGCGAGCGUUAUCCGGAUUUAUUGGGUGUAAAGGGUGCGCAGGCGGUCUGUUAAGUCAGCGGUAAAAGCCCGGGGCUCAACCCCGGCCCGCCGUUGAAACUGGCAGUCUCGAGUUGGAGAGAAGUAUGCGGAAUGCGCGGUGUAGCGGUGAAAUGCAUAGAUAUCGCGCAGAACUCCGAUUGCGAAGGCAGCAUGCCGGCUCCACACUGACGCUGAGGCACGAAAGCGUGGGUAUCGAACAGGAUUAGAUACCCUGGUAGUC